rnacentral:sRNA from 1 species
AGAACUUCUGGCUCUUGAUCAACUCCACGGAUCCCGCAGGACAGCUCCAGUGGCUGGUGGGGGAGCUUCAGGCUGCUGAGGAUCGAGGAGACAAAGUGCAUAUAAUUGGCCACAUUCCCCCAGGGCACUGUCUGAAGAGCUGGAGCUGGAAUUAUUACCGAAUUGUAGCCAGGUAUGAGAACACCCUGGCUGCUCAGUUCUUUGGCCACACUCAUGUGGAUGAAUUUGAGGUCUUCUAUGAUGAAGAGACUCUGAGCCGGCCGCUGGCUGUAGCCUUCCUGGCACCCAGUGCAACUACCUACAUCGGCCUUAAUCCUGGUGAGUGAGGCAGAAGGGAGCCUCCCUUAUCCUGGAGUUGGUGGGAUAGAGGAAGGAGGUUGGAGCCAGAGCCUGCAAAGCAUGGGCAGGAUGUGUGGCCCCUCCCUGGAGUUACCCUUGCUCCUUUCCCCUCCAGUCAGCCCCACUUCCUUGCAGGUUACCGUGUGUACCACAUAGACGGAAACUACUCUGGGAGCUCUCACGUGGUCCUGGACCAUGAGACCUACAUCCUGAAUCUGACCCAGGCAAACACACCGGGAGCCAUACCGCACUGGCAGCUUCUCUACAGGGCUCGAGAAACCUAUGGGCUGCCCAACACACUGCCUACCGCC